UACGUAGGGUGCAAGCGUUGUCCGGAAUUAUUGGGCGUAAAGAGCUCGUAGGCGGCUUGUCACGUCGGUUGUGAAAGCCCGGGGCUUAACCCCGGGUCUGCAUUCGAUACGGGCUAGCUAGAGUGAUGGUAGGGGAGAUCGGAAUUCCUGGUGGUAGCGGUGAAAUGCGCAGAUAUCAGGAGGAACACCGGUGGCGAAGGCGGAUCUCUGGGCCAUUACUGACGCUGAGGAGCGAAAGCGUGGGGAGCGAACAGG
rnacentral:rRNA from 1 species